GCACUUACCUCAUAGAGAAAACAAGAUCAAAAUGGUGGGUUUCCCAGGGCAAGUGUUAUCCAUUGCACUAUGAAUGUGUUGGCCCCUGUAAUUUUCCCAAAGGCAGGCAGGAAUUUUGAUGGUAAAAUGUGUGGUAGUGUAAGGAUUGCAUUUGUGCUCUGUCUUGUG